GUUUUGUUGUCAACCUCAUACAAGAAGCCUCUUCAGUUGAAUGUCAUCUUUGAUGCAUAUCAUCACUUGAAUCAACAAGUGUCACUUCUGUUAUCAGCAAAGCCUAUUGCUCCAAGGCCCUGCUUCACAGAUGAGCACAGAAAGAGAAACCACAGGGUCAAGACCACAACUUCUAGAUGAGACAUCCGAAGCCCAGGAACCAAAAGAGCCGCUGAGAGUCAACUCGAGAAAGACACCCCCCUUCUGGAGAGCAAAAACUGCAGUAGUUAGAUUCCUUCAGCAUUAACUACAAAGAUACCUUAGGGCCAAAGUAUAGGACAGGGAAGCUGCUCACUAGACUAG
rnacentral:lncRNA from 1 species